UGCUAACAAAUCCAUAAAACCUAGGACCAAAACCACUUGCUCCAGAGCUUGGAGAGAGAAGGGCCUGCUGGGCUCCAGCUGAUAAGAACAAGAUGCACAAGGCUACCAAUACUAACCAGGGCUUUCUCCCUAGUUAGUUGGCUUCCUGGGAGACUGUAAGGCCCCAGGAGGCGGCUAUCAGUCACAGAGCCUUCAGCGCCCUGAGGGAGAAGAGCCAGUAGCGCUGAGAGGUCUUGACGAGCCUCUCCCAAGGCCCUAGGCUAGGCUGGGCUUGGCUCGACCUGGCCCUUGGCUAUCUUCCUCACCCUAGCCGUACUUAUUCCAUUAACAUUCACCAUUUCCUCCCCACUCUCUUCCUCCAUCUGUUCCCACGGGCUCCAUUAUUCAAACUUGGAGGGAGGAAAUCAGGGCUGGAAAGAUAACAGACUCUGAGCGCUGGUACACUGAGUUCUUUUUAUAUCUGGACAGUUCUCCAAACCAGACAGGAGCAUAGUCUGGCUGUCAUCUGAAAGGCUCUACCUAGCAGCAGACUGAAACAGAUGAAGACGCCCACAGCCAAACAUUAGACGGAGCUCAGGGAGUCUUGUGGAAGAGCUGGGGGAACGCCUGAGGGAUCCGAAGAGGACAGGGACUCCACAGGAAGACCAACAGAGACAACUAAUCUGGACACAUGUUGCAGAUGUGCAGCUUGGUCUUCUUGCAGGGACCCAAACAACUGGAGUCGGGGCUGACCCUGAA